AAGUCGAGCGGAUCUCUGAUGGAGCUUGCUCCUGAUGAGGUUAGCGGCGGACGGGUGAGUAACACGUAGGCAACCUGCCCUAAAGACCGGGAUAACAUUCGGAAACGAAUGCUAAGACCGGAUAGGCAACGAGGUCGCAUGAUCUUGUUGAGAAACACGGUGCAAGCUGUGGCUUUGGGAUGGGCCUGCGGCGCAUUAGCUAGUUGGUGGGGUAACGGCUCACCAAGGCGACGAUGCGUAGCCGACCUGAGAGGGUGAACGGCCACACUGGGACUGAGACACGGCCCAGACUCCUACGGGAGGCAGCAGUAGGGAAUCUUCCACAAUGGGCGCAAGCCUGAUGGAGCAACGCCGCGUGAGUGAGGAAGGCUUUCGGGUCGUAAAGCUCUGUUGCCAGGGAAGAAUAAGGGUGUGUUAACUGCACAUCCGAUGACGGUACCUGAGAAGAAAGCCCCGGCUAACUACGUGCCAGCAGCCGCGGUAAUACGUAGGGGGCAAGCGUUGUCCGGAAUUAUUGGGCGUAAAGCGCGCGCAGGCGGUCUUUUAAGUCUGGUGUCUAAGUGCGGGGCUCAACCCCGUGAUGCACUGGAAACUGGGAGACUUGAGUGCAGAAGAGGAGAGCGGAAUUCCACGUGUAGCGGUGAAAUGCGUAGAGAUGUGGAGGAACACCAGUGGCGAAGGCGGCUCUCUGGACUGUAACUGACGCUGAGGCGCGAAAGCGUGGGGAGCAAACAGGAUUAGAUACCCUGGUAGUCCACGCCGUAAACGAUGAGUGCUAGGUGUUUGGGGGGUCCACCCCUCCGUGCCCAAAUUAACACAUUAAACACU
rnacentral:rRNA from 1 species